rnacentral:rRNA from 1 species
UUGUUGUAAGUGUGUAAGGGCGUUCGGUGGAUGCCUUGGUACCAGGAGCCGAUGAAGGACGUGGUAGGCCGCGAUAGUCCUCGGGGAGUUGUCAAACGAGCUGUGAUCCGAGGGUGUCCGAAUGGGGAAACCCAGCACGAGUGAUGUCGUGUUACCACCAGCUGAAUGUAUAGGCUGUGUGGGGGGAACGUGGGGAAGUGAAACAUCUCAGUACCC